rnacentral:sRNA from 1 species
UUAAUAUCGCAAAAUAUUGUACAAUGUG